ACACGAGGGAGUAUGAUACCCCAUCAGUAAUUAAGCUGGAAGAAAAUGUUUUUUAGCAAAUUGAGAUUUAAAUUUAUAUAGCCAAAUUGAAGUUUGAUGAGCAAAAAUCUAUCGAAAUCAUUCUAUGUAAAAACUUUAGAUGAAAAUCCCUUACUUAUUUGGAUAAUUUGGCAACUAAAAAAUACAAAUGCUAUUUGGCUAGUGGCAGCUUAAACCGUGCUCCAUAAAUAUGUUUGUAUUCUUGGACUAUUUUAUGUCGUAUUUAGGACUUUAACUCGAUUCUAUUAAAACCAGAAUUUGAAGUUUUAUGCAUUUUUUUUUCUUCAAGUUGUAAUUUAUCUACAGCAACAACCACUCGAUUACCCCGUCCUUGGCCAACCAAGUUUAUAUUCCCUGCAUAUGCUUUACGAGCAGGAGUGGUCCAGAAACUGGAAAGUGGUGAACAAUUAAGCAGGGCUGAUCGCUCACAGGUGACAGAUGCCAUCUAUAAUGAAGUUACAAAAUAUACAUAUUAUCCUAAAGAAUGGCAGUACACAGAAAUUGUAACAGCAUUUCUUGAGAAAUUUCCGAAGCUGAAUACAGGUGACAAUUUUGCAAAGAAUUUGUGGAGGCAGCGUAUCCAGUAUAGAUUUCAGAAUGAUAGGAGGCGCAAAGACUCCAAGUGCAUCCCAGGUAAACGGGUAAUUUCUGGACCAAAUCCAGAUGGAACACCGAAAAAGCAAGCGAUAAUGAUGUGGGGGCUCAAGAAUUAUCUAAGUAAACGACCAGAUGGAGAAGA